GAUGAACGCUGGCGGCGUGCCUAACACAUGCAAGUCGAGCGAACGGACGCGAAGCUUGCUUCUCUGAUGUUAGCGGCGGACGUGAGAGUAACACGUGGAUACCCUACCUAUAAGACUGGGAUAACUUCGGGAAACCGGAGCUAAUACCGGAUAAUCUUUUGAACCGCAUGGUUCAAAAGUGAAAGACGGUCUUGCUGUCACUUAUAGCUGGAUCCGCGCUGCAUUAGCUAGUUGGUAAGGUAACGGCUUACCAAGGCAACGAUGCAUAGCCGACCUGAGAGGGUGAUAGGCCACACGAGAGCUGGUACAGGGACCCGGCUCCUGAGAGAGGGAGCAGACGGGAAUGGUCCGCAGUGGUCGGGAGCCUGGCGGAGCAACGCCGCGUGAGUGAUGAAGGUCUUCUGAUCGUGAAGCUGUGUUAUUAGUGAAGAACAUAUGUGUAAGUAACUGUGCAGAUCGUGACGGUACCUAAUCAGAAAGCCACGGCUAACUACGUG
rnacentral:rRNA from 1 species